rnacentral:tRNA from 2 species
GGUGGGUUCAUCUAACGGUUAGGAUACAUGCCUCUCACGCAUGGUAUACGAGUUCGAUUCUCGUACCCACUAC